CCGAAUAAUCUGCAAUUGUUUCACUGUUAUUAUGGCAAGAGAGAAUUCAAGGGCAAAAUAAACGGCGAUUUAGUGGAAAUAGAUUUGUUAAAAAUGCAAAGAAAUCGUGUACAAAUGGACCCACCAAAAUUGUGCUAACAGUAAAUAUGACGCCGAUGCUCAAUCAACUUCCAGUGCAAGUGUUUCAGCUUCAUCGCGAAAAAUCAACGUUAUAGAAUCGCCAAAUGCCACUAAAGAAUCGCUACAUGCAACAGGCUAUCGUUUCAUUGAUAUAGAAAUUCUCAGUGAAGUUU